rnacentral:rRNA from 1 species
UACGUAGGGGGCAAGCGUUGUCCGGAAUCAUUGGGCGUAAAGCGCGUGUAGGCGGCUCGAUAAGUCUGCUGUGAAAGUCCAGGGCUCAACCCUGGAAUGCCGGUGGAAACUGCCGGGCUAGAGUCCGGAAGAGGCGAGUGGAAUUCCUGGUGUAGCGGUGAAAUGCGCAGAUAUCAGGAGGAACACCAAUGGCGAAGGCAGCUCGCUGGGACGGUACUGACGCUGAGACGCGAAAGCGUGGGGAGCAAACAGG